rnacentral:lncRNA from 1 species
ACCCGGUUAGUAAAAAAAAAGAAGAGAAAUCCUCUAAAAGAAGACUUGGGGCCGGUCUUGGAGUACCGUCGUGCCUCCGUCCAGGGGUUUGCACGCGCUCACGCGCCCUUUUCUACUCUGCCACAUACGGUGGUCGGAAACCGAAAAUUUUCCUUUUUCCGACGCGAAUCAGAAUGGUACGUUUUCCUUUUCUUUUUUAUUGUUCGCAAUAUAUAUUUAAAAAAUAUUCACCUUUGUGUAUCUCGAUCGACUGUGGUACUUUUUCUGUAUAUAUAUGUAGAAAUAAACUUUUUAUUGAAUCUGUGUGUGUAUUCCCCCUAAAAAACCGUCCCUUACAUCCUUUCGAUUCGGGCUUUUUAUGGCCACUGAAAAGAAAAAGAAAAAUAUUUACAAUCUUUGAUUUAUUUCCUGCCAUAUUUGUUUCGUUUCUGUCGUUUUCUUUCCAUUUUUGCAGGUGUUCAAGGAGAGUAGACCACCGGCGUUGAUUUGCGCGUCGAUUACGGCAUAAGGUGGGGCCUAGAAUCACGGCAUUGAUGAAAGGUAGCUGAAACGACGGAAUUUGAAGAGGCACGACUCUUGGGGUGCUUGCGGCAAGAAGCUUCUGGAAACCCUAGGGUUUCCAGAUUCUGUUUAGGCGUUGGGCCUUGUUAAUUUUGGGCCGUUGAGUUGGGUCAAUGGUGUAAUGGGUAUAGGGUAGUGGUAGGCUUACGGGGUUGUUACCGGGCAUAAGGUUUUAGGCUAAUUGGGUCACAAGUGUAACGGGCUUUGGGCUUGGGUGUAACCGGGUUCUGGGUUAGCUGGGUAUUACCUUGUAAUUGGGCCUCAGGUAGACUUAAAUUUUUAGGCUCUAUAUAUGGACUAUUUAAAACAGUAAACAUUCAUUUAUUUUUUAUUUUUUGUUUAAAGCCCGGGCAAAUUUAGGUUAUUACAAGGCUAACAGAGUAGCACACGGACUGGCGAAGGAGGGCUGGAAAUUCGAUGACCCACAGUACUGGAUGGAAGAGGUUCCUAGCGAGAUGGAGGAUCUGGUUAAUAGGGACCGAAAUAGCAACAAUGGCAGAUGAGGCGUUCAUGACGAGUCCGGAUCGAGAAAUGAGAAUGUGAUUCGAUGAACCCGUGAAAUAACUAGAGGCUUGGGAUUGAAAAGUUAUUUGCUGAUGACGAUUCAGAAGAAGAGUCUUAGUAGCAACUGAUGCAACAAGAAGGGGGGCUCGGGGGAUUGGCUUUUCAUUUUCUUUUUUUUUUUUGCUUAAUUGGAUUCAUUUGUAUUGGCAAUUGUAAAGACUGAUUCAUUUAUUUCUUGUUUUCAUUUUCCCUAGACACCGAUUAGGCUGUCAAUUAGAAUACAACAGCUGUAGGAAGUAUUUAUUGUUUGUGUAAGGCAUUGGCUAAAAUCCCAUCAAUAAGAGCAUCAGUUGAAACGUUCAAAAAAAA